UUUCGAAAUCGGACCCUUCUCCUCCUCCCUAGGGUUCUGAUCGAAGCGGCAACGUCUCUCCUCCUCCCUGACGUUGCCGCACAAACAAUCGGAAUUUAAGGCUCUUCCUCCUCCCUUAGAGCCUUAAAG
rnacentral:ncRNA from 14 species